AAGAGUUUAGUUAAGUAUAACAUUAAAAUUGCAAUUUAAAAGUACAACUAUUGUAAUUCUUA
rnacentral:tRNA from 1 species